UACGUAGGGGGCAAGCGUUGUCCGGAUUCAUUGGGCGUAAAGAGCGUGUAGGCGGCCAGGUAGGUCGGUUGUGAAAACUGGAGGCUCAACCUUCAGAGGUCGACCGAAACCAUCUGGCUAGAGUCCGGGAGAGGAGAGUGGAAUUCCUGGUGUAGCGGUGGAAUGCGCAGAUAUCAGGAAGAACACCGGUGGCGAAAGCGGCUACCUGGCCCAUUCUUGACGCUGAGGCGCGAAAGCUAGGGGAGCAAACGGG
rnacentral:rRNA from 1 species